rnacentral:sRNA from 2 species
UGACCGCUUCCUUUACCGGAAGCCAAGGCCAUACGGACAGCCGGGUCGAAUGCCGA